rnacentral:rRNA from 1 species
GAUGAACGCUAGCGGAAGGCAUAAUACAUGCAAGUCGAACGGAUGUAGCAAUACAUUAGUGGCGCACGGGUGCGUAACGCGUAUGCAACCUACCUUCAUCAGGGGGAUAACUACCCGAAAGGGUGGCUAACACCGCAUAAUACUAUUGAGUGGCAUCACUUGAUAUUUAAAUCUGAGGAGGAUGAAGAUGGGCAUGCGUCUGAUUAGCUAGUUGGUGUGGUAACGGCGCACCAAGGCGACGAUCAGUAGGGGAACUGAGAGGUUGGUCCCCCACACUGGCACUGAGAUACGGGCCAGACUCCUACGGGAGGCAGCAGUAGGGAAUAUUGGUCAAUGGUGGGAACACUGAACCAGCCAUUCCGCGUGCAGGAAGAAGGGUCUCUGACUUGUAAACUGCUUUAGCAAGGGAAGAAAAAGCUCAUGCGUGAGAAAUUGACGGUACCUUGAGAAUAAGCACCGGCUAACUACGUGCCAGCCGCCGCAGUAAAAC